rnacentral:rRNA from 1 species
UUUAUUUGAGAGUUUGAUCCUGGCUCAGGAUGAACGCUGGCGGCGUGCCUAACACAUGCAAGUUGAGCGAUUUACUUCGGUAAAGAGCGGCGGACGGGUGAGUAACGCGUGGGUAACCUACCCUGUACACACGGAUAACAUACCGAAAGGUAUGCUAAUACGGGAUAAUAUAUUUGAGGGGCAUCUCUUGAAUAUCAAAGGUGAGCCAGUACAGGAUGGACCCGCGUCUGAUUAGCUAGUUGGUAAGGUAACGGCUUACCAAGGCGACGAUCAGUAGCCGACCUGAGAGGGUGAUCGGCCACAUUGGAACUGAGACA